CCAGGGGUCGUCGGAUCGAACGAUCGUUUUCAUUUCCGACCUCAGAUCGGACGAGAUUACCCGCUGAAUUUAAGCAUAUCACUAAGCGGAGGAAAAGAAACU
rnacentral:rRNA from 1 species